UCCAAUUGAAGCAGAGGACAGUGGCGGACGGGUGAGUAACGCGUGAGGAACCUGCCUUUCAGAGGGGGACAACAGUUGGAAACAACUGCUAAUACCGCAUAACGCAUAGAAGUCGCAUGGCUUUUAUGCCAAAGAUUUAUCGCUGAAAGAUGGCCUCGCGUCUGAUUAGCUAGUUGGUGAGGUAACGGCCCACCAAGGCGACGAUCAGUAGCCGGACUGAGAGGGUGAUCGGCCACAUUGGAACUGAGAUACGGUCCAGACUCC
rnacentral:rRNA from 1 species